UGGGGAAUAUUGCACAAUGGAGGGAACUCUGAUGCAGCGACGCCGCGUGAGUGAUGAAGGACUUCGUUUCGUAAAACUCUGUUCUAUGGGAAGAAAAGGACUGUACCAUAGGAGAAAGCUCCGGCUAAAUACGUGCCAGCAGCCGCGGUAAUACGUAUGGAGCGAGCGUUGUCCGGAAUUAUUGGGCGUAAAGGGUGCGCAGGCGGCUUUACAAGUUGGAUGGGAAAUAUUGUGGCUCAACCACAAACGUGCAUCCAAAACUGCAAAGCUUGAGUUAAGGAGAGGUAAGUGGAAUUCCUGGUGUAGCGGUGGAAUGCGUAGAUAUCAGGAGGAAUACCGGUGGCGAAGGCGACUUACUGGACUUAAACUGACGCUCAGGCACGAAAGCGUGGGGAGCAAACAGG
rnacentral:rRNA from 1 species